rnacentral:rRNA from 1 species
CAACCGGUGGAGCAUGUGUUUCAUUUUGACGCAACGCGAAAAACCUCCCCUGGGCUCGAAUUGUAGGGGAAUCGGGUGGAAACAUCCGCUUCUCGCAAGAAACUGCUAUAUAGGUGCUGCAUGGCUGUCGUCCUCUCGUGUCGUGAGAUGUUGGGUUAAGUCCCGCAACCACCGCAACCCUUAUCCCUGGUUGCCAUUGUGUCAAGCCGGGCACUCUAGUGAAACCGCCCGGUAUAACCGGGAGGAAGGUGGGGAAGACGUCAUGUCCUCAUGGUCUUUAUGUUCAGGGCUACACCCGUGCUACAUUGGUCGGAAAAAAACCCUCCAAACCCGCGAGGGGGAACUAAUCAAAAAAAGCCCGCCACAUUUCGGAAUGGAGUCUGCCCCCCCACUCCAUGAAGCUUGUAUCCCUUAUAUUUGAGAUAUCAAAACGCCGCGAAGUAUUUUUUCACAGGUUCUUGUACACCCC